GGGUACGUAGCUCAACGGAUAGAGCAUCCGCCUUCUAAGCGGACGGUUGAAGGUUCGAUUCCUUCCGUACCUG
rnacentral:tRNA from 1 species